CGAACCGUACAAACGUUAUUCGGAAUCACUGGGCUUAAAGGGUGCGUAGGCGGCCAUGUAAGUGAGGUGUGAAAUCCCUCGGCUCAACCGAGGAACUGCGCUUCAUACUGCAUGGCUUGAGGGAGACAGGGGUAAGCGGAACUGAUGGUGGAGCGGUGAAAUGCGUUGAUAUCAUCAGGAACACCGGUGGCGAAAGCGGCUUACUGGGUCUCUUCUGACGCUGAGGUACGAAAGCUAGGGUAGCGAACGGGAUUAGAUACCCCGGUAGUCCUAGCUGUAAACGAUGAGCACUUGUCUGGGGAUCCUCCCAUAGGUUCCCGGACGAAGCGAAAGUGUUAAGUGCUCCGCCUGGGGAGUAUGGUCGCAAGGCUG
rnacentral:rRNA from 1 species